UACCAUGAGUUACUUAACUCGGCCGCUAUCGCGUGUAUAUCUUUGUUUAUUGUUUUUCUAAAACUAUGGCUACGACUAUAGUUAUAACAUACAUAAAAGGCGUCUCGGUUGUAUUCUGACGGCAUUCGUGCGGUCCAAACAUAGAAACAUGAAGGCGGUACUACUGAUAGUAGGCGUUCCUCUCUUGAUGUGUUUCCUCGACGUGGUACAGGGAACAACCACGACCCCAAGUUCUGGAUCUGGUUCUAUUACUAGUGGCAGUGCAUCUGGAACGGGAUCCGGAAGUGUUAAUGUCCCCGUGGCAACUACUGCUGGCGGAAACAGCGGCUCACAGAGGAUUUCGUUCACACCGUUUUCCGUCUUUAUCAUGGCCAUUGUUUUCAUUGCAAAUAUUGCUUUGGCUUAAGUGGGCGGCUUUCCAGUCGAGCAUAUGUCUGACGACCAUUGAUGGUUUGGAAAAACUUAAACAAACGUGAUCUGUUUUUCUUAACGUAAUUUCUGUUUUAAGUUUUCGGGUAGUGUAUGUACAAUAAUAGUGUGUGAUAUGCAUAGGCCUUGUUAAUGAAUUGUUUACCGUGCGAUAUAUAAACAUGGCAUGCUAUGAAGAAAGCAUAUGUUUUUUGAAUGCCAGAGUUAUUAUAACGCGUACUGUGCUUGCUUCCAUGUAUCUGCUUGCUUCCAUGUAUCUGCUUGUUUCUCAAACAAAAAUUAAAGAAUAUCCACUAAAAAAAUCUGUUUAAUUAUUUUGUAAUUUUAAUACACCCAAUCUGUAUACUUGUGAUGACUCGACACAUUAUUCACAGCCCAUUCAGUAUUGUAUUUUAUUGUUUUCAUUGCCUCACACUUUUUGAGGUAUCAGACUCUGACCAAUCGAAGGCAAAAUAUCUCAAGUAAAAAUCAAUAAGCGCAUGACACUUUUAAAUUGAGCUAUUUAGUUAAGUGUUGUUUUCCUAUGAUCGAAGCUUACAAGAGAGUUCAAGGUAGAAUUAACACAAUGACUCGUUUUGGCCUCUCCCUAGUUCUAGUUUCCUCCGGCACCACUCGUAUUCCGUCCGCCUUUCUGUUCAUCGAAGGUUUCAGAUCUGAAUAGAAUGCCCAGAGUAGCUUUGGGUAAAAAUCGUAGUACAUUGUUUUUAGCGAGGCAGUCAAUCUGCUACACAUACACACUGUGUUAAUCUAUGUAAUAAAAAGGCGUAUGAUGAUAAGCUUACCCUACCCAAGAGUUUAUAUUAAAGCACGUACAUUUCAUUGAGGAAACCCAAUUCUGCACGCUGUCCCUUCGUGAUAAUUUGUUAUGUUUUGGGUCAUGUUAGUUAAACCAUAUUUAAUGUUUCCAUCAUUCCUUUAUAUUAUGUUUAUGGGACUUGCUUUUUAUAGCUAAGGGAGAUAACUAGCUAAGCAGUUAUAUUGACUAAACAGCGAAUGGCGUCCCUUUAUUGCAAUUCAUGAAAUAUCAUGAACUGGCGAUGUACAUAAAUUAUGGUCCAUUUAUCAAUCACAUAUACUUCUUGUAAUUUAAGUUUAGAAAAUAUAUAUAUGAACAUGCAAUUCAUUUUAUCGUUGCAAUAAUGUUUAAUUCUAUAAACUUAAUCAUACCACUUCAGAACCAGUUAAACUAGUCGAACAUAUUAAUUAUUAAUGCUAUUCUAUACAAUGUCCGAACAAAUGCGGAAAACCCAGUUUAAAUGUUAAUUAAUAGUGUAAAAAUU